AGGGGGCUGCUAAGCUCAAGGGCUGCAGCCAUGCCCAGAGCCGCAGCAGUAUCAAGCAACUCCAUUUACAAACAAAGGCACUGAUAACUCCCAGCAGGACCGAAAGGCUGUUAUCACGGUGCCGAUUAAAAUUUCCUCUUGCAGCCAAUGCAGAGGAGUUAGAUCUGUGGCAAAAUGUGCACGCUCCAGCGCUUAACCCCACUGCAGCAAUGUGCUGAGUCCUUCAGCACGCUCUGGGAGCUCUGGGACAAGUGGACAGCCAGCAGGAGAGAAGGUUGGUGACCUUGGUGCUGCUCAGACACCUCAGUGCCUCCCUGGGUUGCUUCCUCCACGGCUGAGAGCUGCUCCCUUUCUGCUGUGCUGCAUCCUGCACACCCACAUUUUAGCAAAGAAGACAAGACAUCCAGCUGCAGAAGAGACCCUGUCAUGGCUUUUGCUCAGAGCUGGUCCCAAAAGCAGCUGACCCCCAGAACACCCCAGAGCUGACCCGAACCAUGCCCUGUACAGAUCUCACACUCAGCAGAGCCUCGCCCCGAGCACAGCGCACCCUGUCCCCAUGCACAGCCCAGUGACCCAGUCGUGCACUCCUGCGGGAGGACCACAACGCAGCCCUCCUGUGAUGUGCCUCAUCAGGGUCCUCAUGGUGGCAGAGGGGGUGAGGAACACGGGGAGCCCCUUUAGGUGUACCAGCAGCGGGCACUCAACAGAUUACGGGGUUUUAACUGCUGCUAGCUGACAUGCAUUUAUCAGCAAGCAGAUUUUAGAGUGACAGGGAGCUUGGAUGAAGCAAGGAGGAUGAUGGGUGGAGGGCGGAGAAUGCUGCUUGUUUCAAGCUACCACAUAUCUGAUAUGCUCGGUUGUUUGCAAGAAUGAGGAUGUGUCUCCCACCCAUUUCUGGGUAAUUAGACCAGCAAGAAGGACAACCCCACAAUCCUGGCUGGAGCCACCCGGGAUCUCUAGGACUGAGGUUCUGCAUGUCAGGAACCGUGGAGUGAAGUGUCCCACAGCCACCACUGAGCUGCGGUGGGAGCUGCACACAAAGGCUGCUGGCAGAGCACCCCUGCAGACAGGGCGAGCAAGGCACCACGAAGAGGAAGCAAAGGGCCUGAAGCGAAGCUGAUUUCCUGGGGUUUCCUGGUGGUUUGCGAGAGGUGCAGUGAUUGCUCCCCAUCAGGCAGCUUCUUGGCCACAGCUGGGGAUGGCUGCAGCACAACAACAACUCCUCCAGCCGUGGCAGCCCAGGCUGGGCAAUGCUGGAUGGAGGACAGCUGGGGCACGGUGCUGUCCGGGCCUCGGGGCUCUGUAUGUCCUGCCCACAGCAGGCAACAGUUGCUUGUGAGAAAUCAUGCUGUCACUGAGCCUGGUGGAGAAUUUCAGCUGGGCAAAUCACUGGAAGCAAAAGCAGAAAGGAAGGAAGGAAACCAGAGGGUGCCUCCCAAACAUGCAAAGCAGUGUCAGGGCACCUGUCCCAGGGCAGAAGAGCAAAAAGCCCAUUCCCAGCAGUGGGGUGAACUGGGAGGGGCCUGCUUGGCACGUGGGGAGCCAGGAGGUUUGUUAGGGAACCACCAAGCCCUGCUUGUAAAUGCAAAAUCCUCCAGACUGAGGCUGCUAAUACUGAGGGCUGGCAGUUCAUAAUGGAAAAUGUUCAGUGUGAGGUGGCUUCUGAAGGACUUUAGAAGUGUCGGGCUAAGUGUAAGUGGGGUACACUGGCCCUCUUUGCAGGACAGGACCAGUCCACUUUCCAGCUGGAGCAGUUGAACAAUGUGCAACGUGUACCCCAAAGCUCUUGGGGCUGUGCCUGGCCCACAACUCCAUGGGGUGUCAUAACCCCCAUAGCUCCUAAAACAUCCAUGCCAGGGUGCCCAGGUUGCGGGGAUGAAUUCAAUUUUUCUUCAGAAACAUCUUUUUGUAAUAGGGAACUCGGAGGAAACAAUAGUGCUGGCUGGUGGUGGGAGAUACCUUGCAGAGUUUCGCUGUAUCUGUAUCACAUCUGCCUGUGGAGAGAGCCUGGGCUGGGAAACUGUGGGUUUGUGUUCCUGUAGUGUACAGCAACACGAUGCUCCCAGGGAGUGCAUUAAACAUGGAAAAUAGCAAGGAUCCCAGAAUAGGCUGGACCUAAUCACUGACAGGAAUACGUGCCAAGUUCAAGAUUCUGGAUUUUUAUCUUCUGAGUGCUCCUGGCCCCCAGCCCAAACCACCACAGAAAUUGCCUAUGUCCCCAGAGUGAGCAGUUCCCCAGA